rnacentral:rRNA from 1 species
UUGGUGCCUUCGGGAACUGUGAGACAGGUGCUGCAUGGCUGUCGUCAGCUCGUGUUGUGAAAUGUUGGGUUAAGUCCCGCAACGAGCGCAACCCUUAUCCUUUGUUGCCAGCGGUCCGGCCGGGAACUCAAAGGAGACUGCCAGUGAUAAACUGGAGGAAGGUGGGGAUGACGUCAAGUCAUCAUGGCCCUUACGACCAGGGCUACACACGUGCUACAAUGGC